AGAGUUUGAUCCUGGCUCAGAACGAACGCUGGCGGCAGGCUUAACACAUGCAAGUCGAACGCCCCGCAAGGGGAGUGGCAGACGGGUGAGUAACACGUGGGAACAUGCCCAAAGGUACGGAACAACUCCGGGAAACUGGAGCUAAUACCGUAUGUGCCCGAGAGGGGAAAGAUUUAUCGCCUUUGGAUUGGCCCGCGUUGGAUUAGCUAGUUGGUGGGGUAAAAGCCUACCAAGGCGACGAUCCAUAGCUGGUCUGAGAGGACGACCAGCCACACUGGGACUGAGACACGGCCCAGACUCCUACGGGAGGCAGCAGUGGGGAAUCUUGGACAAUGGGCGCAAGCCUGAUCCAGCCAUGCCGCGUGGAUGAUGAAGGCCCUAGGGUUGUAAAAUCCUUUCGUUGGGGACGAUAAUGACGG
rnacentral:rRNA from 1 species